UACAGAGGAGCCAAGCGUUGUCCGGAAUCACUGGGCGUAAAGCGCACGUAGGCGGCUUUUUAAGUCAGGGGUGAGAUCCUGGAGCUCAACUCCAGAACUGCCUUUGAUACUGAGAAGCUUGAGUCCGGGAGAGGUGAGUGGAACUGCGAGUGUAGAGGUGAAAUUCGUAGAUAUUCGCAAGAACACCAGUGGCGAAGGCGGCUCACUGGCCCGGUACUGACGCUGAGGUGCGAAAGCGUGGGGAGCAAACAGG
rnacentral:rRNA from 1 species